GACGAACGCUGGCGGCGUGCUUAACACAUGCAAGUCGAACGGAAAGGCCCUGCUCUUGUGGGUUUCUCGAUUGGCGAACGGGUGAGUAACACGUGAGUAACCUGUCCUUGACUUUGUGAUAACUUCAGGAAACUGGGGCGCAUACCGGAUAGGAGCUCCUGCUGCAUGUUGGGGGUUGGAAAGUUUCGGUGGUUGGGGCUGGACUCGCUGCUUAUCAGCUUCUUGGUGGGGUAGUGGCUUACCAAGGCUUUGACGGGUAGCCGGCCUGGGAGGGUUACCGGCCACAUGGGGCCUGAGAUACGGCCCAGAAGCCAACGGGAGGCAGCAGUGGGGAAUAUGGCACAAUGAGCGGAAGCCUGAUGCAGCAACGCUGCGUGCGGAAUGACGGCCUUCGGGUUGUAAACCGAUUUCGCCGGUGACGAAGCGUGAGUGACGGUAAUGAGUAAAGAAGCAACGGCUAACUACGUG
rnacentral:rRNA from 1 species